UACCAGCACCCCGAGUGGUCGGGACGAUUAUUGGGCCUAAAGCAUCCGUAGCCGGUCCUACAAGUCUUCCGUUAAAUCCAGCUGCUUAACAGAUGGGCCGCGGGAGAUACUACAGAGCUAGGAGGCAGGAGAGGCAAGCGGUACUCAGUGGGUAGGGGUAAAAUCCGUUGAUCCAUUGAAGACCACCAGUGGCGAAGGCGGCUUGCCAGAAUGCGCUCGACGGUGAGGGAUGAAAGCUGGGGGAGCAAACCGG
rnacentral:rRNA from 1 species